rnacentral:rRNA from 1 species
GACGAACGCUGGCGGCGUGCUUAACACAUGCAAGUCGAACGGAAAGGCCCUGCUUUGGGGGGGUGCUCGAGUGGCGAACGGGUGAGUAACACGUGAGUAACCUGCCCUUGACUUUGGGAUAACUUCAGGAAACUGGGGCUAAUACCGGAUAGGAGCUCCUGCUGCAUGGGGGGGGUUGGAAAGGUUCGGCGGUUGGGGAUGGACUCGCGCCUUAUCAGCUUGUGGGUGGGGUAGUGGCUUACCAAGCCUUUGACGGGUAGCCGGCCUGGGAGGGUGACCGGCCACAUUGGGACUGGGAUACGGCCCAGACUCCUACGGGAGGCAGCAGUGGGGAAUAUUGCACAAUGGGCGGAAGCCUGAUGCAGCAACGCCGCGUGCGGGAUGACGGCCUUCGGGUUGUAACCCGCUUUCGCAUGUGACGAAGCGUGAGUGACGGUAAUGGGUAAAGAAGCACCGGCUAACUACGUG